ACCAGCCCCCCCUCACACCAAUCCAAGGAGCUAACUAUUUAUUUGACUUCUCUAAGAAGAGAACAGAGAUUUUUCCAAAAGUUACGUUUCAUCUUGGAAAUCUCACAAACCGCCACUUUUUUUUCCUUUUUUUUUUUAAAGUUAAUUUUCUUACUUUUGUCUUUUUUUAAAUUUUAAUUUGGGGGUUUUGAUAACUUAUUUUGUAUCUGAACCAGUGUAGCUCUGACCACCAGGAGAAUACACUGUGCCUCACUGUCACUCUCUCCAUAGGAGACAUGGAAUACCCUACUAUAUUAUUUUGUCACCGCAGCCCCCUCGUCGUAGUCAACGGCCAGGGGAUAGUGCGUCGUUUAGGACGCAGACUGAGAAAAAUGUUUUUACCCAGGUGUCACCACAAAGGUAGGACAAUUUAAACUCAAAUGUGCCAUGAUUUAUAUACGUAUACACACCAUGACUGAUAGGGGGCGCUGUGUUGAAGUCACGUGCCAACAACAUGGGUCAACAACCAUUGUAAAAAAAAAAAAUGGAGGCUAAAGAAAUGCAUUAACGUCUACAUUUUGUUUUUGCCACAGAUAUUCAACUAAACACCUUAAUUUUUUUUGUUUUAAGUUCUAAUGUUACUGUCCCCACUACAACAAAAUUCCUAAAUACAUGUGAUUUUUGUCCUUGAGAGACAUUGUUAAUUGAAAUACUGAAGAAUUCCAUUCAUUCCUAUGGAGGACUGCUUCUUCUGUACUAAUAUGGAGGACUGCUUCUUCUGUACUAAUAUGGAGGACCAGUGGCUUCAAAAGCCUCUCAUUGGCCAAUACACAACAUCUAUACAUCAAUGGCCAAUACACAGCGUCUAUACAUCAAUGGCCAAUACACAGCGUCUAUACAUCAAUGGCCAAUACACAGCGUCUAUACAUCAUUGGCCAAUACACAGCGUCUACACAUCAUUGGCCAAUACACAGCGUCUAUACAUCAAUGGCCAAUACACAGCGUCUAUACAUCAAUGGCCAAUACACAGCGUCUAUACAUCAAUGGCCAAUACACAGCAUCUAUACAUCAAUGGCCAAUACACAGCAUCUAUACAUCAAUGGCCAAUACACAGCAUCUAUACAUCAAUGACCAAUACACAGCAUCUAUACAUCAUUGGCCAAUACACAGCAUCUAUACAUCAAUGGCCAAUACACAACAUCUACACAUCAUUGGCCAAUACACAGCAUCUAUACAUCAUUGGCCAAUACACAGCAUCUACACAUCAUUGGCCAAUACACAGCAUCUAUACAUCAUUGGCCAAUACACAGCAUCUAUACAUCAUUGGCCAAUACACAGCAUCUAUACAUCAAUGGCCAAUACACAGCAUCUAUACAUCAUUGGCCAAUACACAGCAUCUAUACAUCAUUGGCCAAUACACAGCAUCUAUACAUCAUUGGCCAAUACACAGCAUCUAUACAUCAUUGGCCAAUACACAGCAUCUACACAUCAUUGGCCAAUACACAGCAUCUAUACAUCAAUGGCCAAUACACAGCAUCUAUACAUCAUUGGCCAAUACACAGCAUCUAUACAUCAUUGGCCAAUACACAGCAUCUAUACAUCAUUGGCCAAUACACAGCAUCUACACAUCAUUGGCCAAUACACAGCAUCUAUACAUCAUUGGCCAAUACACAGCAUCUAUACAUCAUUGGCCAAUACACAGCAUCUAUACAUCAAUGGCCAAUACACAGCAUCUAUACAUCAUUGGCCAAUACACAGCAUCUACACAUCAUUGGCCAAUACACAGCAUCUAUACAUCAUUGGCCAAUACACAGCAUCUACACAUCAUUGGCCAAUACACAGCAUCUAUACAUCAUUGGCCAAUACACAGCAUCUAUACAUCAUUGGCCAAUACACAGCAUCUACACAUCAUUGGCCAAUACACAGCAUCUAUACAUCAUUGGCCAAUACACAGCAUCUACACAUCAUUGGCCAAUACACAGCAUCUAUACAUCAUUGGCCAAUACACAGCAUCUAUACAUCAUUGGCCAAUACACAGCAUCUAUACAUCAUUGGCCAAUACACAGCAUCUACACAUCAUUGGCCAAUACACAGCAUCUACACAUCAUUGGCCAAUACACAGCAUCUACACAUCAUUGGCCAAUACACAGCAUCUACACAUCAAUGGCCAAUACACAGCAUCUACACAUCAAUGGCCAAUACACAGCAUCUAUACAUCAUUGGCCAAUACACAGCAUCUAUACAUCAAUGGCCAAUACACAGCAUCUACACAUCAAUACACAGCAUCUAUACAUCAAUGGCCAAUACACAGCAUCUAUACAUCAUUGGCCAAUACACAGCAUCUAUACAUCAAUGGCCAAUACACAGCAUCUAUACAUCAUUGGCCAAUACACAGCAUCUAUACAUCAAUGACCAAUACACAGCAUCUAUACAUCAUUGGCCAAUACACAGCAUCUAUACAUCAAUGGCCAAUACACAGCAUCUACACAUCAUUGGCCAAUACACAGCAUCUACACAUCAAUACACAGCAUCUAUACAUCAAUGACCAAUACACAGCAUCUAUACAUCAUUGGCCAAUACACAGCAUCUAUACAUCAAUGGCCAAUACACAGCGUCUAUACAUCAAUGGCCAAUACACAGCGUCUAUACAUCAUUGGCCAAUACACAGCAUCUACACAUCAUUGGCCAAUACACAGCAUCUAUACAUCAAUGGCCAAUACACAGCACCUAUACAUCAAUGGCCAAUACACAGCAUCUAUACAUCAAUGGCCAAUACACAGCAUCUAUACAUCAAUGGCCAAUACACAGCAUCUACACAUCAAUGGCCAAUACACAGCAUCUACACAUCAUUGGCCAAUACACAGCAUCUAUACAUCAUUGGUCAUGAGCUUGUGACUAAUACAGUGAACAAUAUUGUAGGUUUAACCCAUCAAUUUGUUGUAUUCUAAAACAAACACUUCAGUUCCUUUUUACAGAUGAACUCUGGUCUUUGAAAGUAUGGGAGGUCAUUUGUUUUGAAGGAUGGAUUUGACUUUUAAAUUAUUUUUUAAAAUUUUUAUUUUUAGACCAUUUGUUGGAGGGGGAUAGUAAUCAGUGGGUUUAAUGUUACUCUAGUCACAUGACUUUUUAUUUUUGUUUCAUUUAAUAUUGCUUUCCAUGCAGCGUAGUUCUGACAUAGCUUAAUUUAAAUGACAAUAUUAUAAUUUAUAUGCAGUGUGUUGUUUUUUUUGUUGUUUUUUUUAAAGCCCAAUGCUAUGAUUUCAGAAGGAUGAGCCAAAUUGAUUUGUGACCUAAGGUGGGAGACCAGUGUCCUCUCAGCACCAUCCUGCAGCCUCAAAAGGCCCCCCCCCCCCUCUUUUUUACAUUGUAGUGAGUUUACAAGCCUGCCUCGUCAGAACCACAUUGGAAGUGUGUAGGGGUUGACAUUGGGUUAAAUGACAGACUUUUUUUUUUCUCGCUUUUUCUAGAUUACAUGUCACACCUUUUUGUCUAACUGUGGAGUCAAUGUUUUUUCUCCCUCCCUCUAAAAGCGCUGUAGGUAUCUGGAUGUCUGUUUUUUUUUUUUGUGCUCGUAGUGUGUCUGCCGGAGGCAGUGUUACUACUGUCUGCCCCAUGCUGAAGUCCAAGCCUUAACCCUUAAAGGACACCCAGCUGCAGCAGUGCUCUGACCUUCUCGGGCUCCAACUACUCAUCUUUGUACGCCUUCUAUGCUUGCUACUAACCCCCCCCCCCCCCCCCUCCCCCUCCAACCCUCCUUUUCUUGUAACAACCUGACAGGCUGUCUGUGGGAAAAGCAUAAGACUUCACCUCAAGACCUUAACUAUUGGAGUAGACAUUACAGUACCUACCUGCCAGGGACCAUUUGACCAGCAGGGUCUCACCUUCGAUGGCCACUGGCACGCUGGACAAGUGUGCUCUUCGCGGACGAAUCCCAGUUUCAACUGUGCUCCUGUCCAACAUUGUGAACAGAGUGCCCCAUGCUGACGGUGGGGUUAUGGUAAGGGCAGGCCAACGGACACAACUGCAUUAUAUGGAUACCGUGACCAGAUCCUGAGGCCCAUUGUCGUGACAUUUCAUCCGUCGCCAUCACCACACUUCCAGUUCCCAACGAUAUCCAGCGAUUUUAGCACAGCCAUUGAAGAGGAGUGGGACAUCAUUCCCGCAGGUCACAAUCAACAGCCUGAUCAACUCCAUGUGAAGGAGAUGUGUUGUGCUGCAUGAGGAAAAUGGUGGGUCACACCAGAUACGGACUGGUUUUCUGAUCCACGCCCCCUACCUUUUUAAAGUUAUCAGUAUUCACAGUCAUGUGAAAUCCAUAGAUUAGGGCUUAAUGAAUUUUUCAAUUGACUGAUUUCUUUAUAUCAACUAACUCCAAUAAAAUCUUAGCAAUUGUUGGAUGUUUUAUAUUUUUGUUCAGUGUAGAUGAGUAAUUGACAUACUAGUCAUUUAAAGGGAUCAGAUUCGAUACACUAACUUCUUAGUAAAGGACAACAUUAUUCACUACACUGACAUCUCUCCAGUCCACAACUCUUUAUUUACUCGUUGCGUUACAGUGGGGUGGGGGGGGGAAGAAACAUGUAUUCUAGUGGGUGGGCCUCUGACCUUCUAAGCCCACCCAUGACUGCGCCCCUGCACAGUCAUGUGAAAUCCAUAGAUUUAUUUUUUAUGACUUUUUUUCAGUUGACUGAUUUUCCUUUUUAUAUGAACUGUAACUGAGUAAAAAUCGUUAAUUGUUUCAUGUUGCGUUUAAAAAAA